UUCUGCUGGGUUAGCUCAGUUGGUAGAGCAUGUGAUCCUUCAUCUCAGGGUUGUGGGUUCAAGCCCCAUGUUGGGGGAAA